CUCCAGGGGAUUUUCUCGACCCAGGGAUCAAACCAGCAUCUCUUGCAUUGGGCUCAAUUCACAUUCCCCUCUCCUCCCUGUCUGUUUUCAUUGCAAUCAAGGAAAGUUUACUGCAUUCAUACUUCUUAAAGGUGAAAAUUUUGACUUCCCCGGUGGCUCAGACAGUAAAGUGUCUACCUACAA